GGACCUUUAACUCAGCAGGUUAGAGUACCCGGCUCAUAACCGGGCAGUCCUGGGUUCGAAUCCCAGAAGGUCCA
rnacentral:tRNA from 1 species